rnacentral:rRNA from 1 species
GACGAACGCUGGCGGCGUGCCUAAUACAUGCAAGUUGAGCGCUGAAGGCUGGUACUUGUACCAACUGGAUGAGCAGCGAACGGGUGAGUAACGCGUGGGGAAUCUGCCUUUGAGCAGGGGACAACAUUUGGAAACGAAUGCUAAUACCGCAUAAAAACUUUAAACAAAAGUUUUAAGUUUGAAAGAUGCAAUUGCAUCACUCAAAGAUGAUCCCGCGUUGUAUUAGCUAGUUGGUGAGGUAAAGGCUCACCAAGGCGAUGAUACAUAGCCGACCUGAGAGGGUGAUCGGCCACAUUGGGACUGAGACACGGCCCAAACUCCUACGGGAGGCAGCAGUAGGGAAUCUUCGGCAAUGGACGAAAGUCUGACCGAGCAACGCCGCGUGAGUGAAGAAGGUUUUCGGAUCGUAAAACUCUGUUGGUAGAGAAGAACGUUGGUGAGAGUGGAAAGCUCACCAAGUGACGGUAACUACCCAGAAAGGGACGGCUAACUACGUG